GACGGAGGAUGCAAGUGUUAUCCGGAAUCACUGGGCGUAAAGCGUCUGUAGGUGGUUUAAAAAGUCCACUGUUAAAGAUUGAAGCUUAACUUCAAAAAUGCCGUGGAAACUUUUAAACUUGAGUAUGAUAGGGGUAGAGGGAAUUUCCAGUGGAGCGGUGAAAUGCGUAGAUAUUGGAAAGACCACCAAUGGCGAAGGCACUCUACUGGGCCAUUACUGACACUGAGAGACGAAAAGCUAGGGGAGCAAACGGG
rnacentral:rRNA from 1 species